rnacentral:lncRNA from 1 species
AAAAUAUAGGGUAAUUUUCAAAGAAAUGGGUAAAAAUCUCUGAUGUAAGAGAAAAACCUUGUGCAAAAUGAGAGUGAGGAAACAAUGAAAAGAGAUGUGUUAAGGGAAGAAAGAUUUUGGAACCAAAUGAAAGAGGAGCACUCUGGUAAAAAUGAGCCACUGAGUUUAAAGAUACAUGAAAUAAGGCAUUUCUUUGGAAUUUCUAAGAAUCUGUUUGUAACUCAACAACUAAGAAGAAAGUGGUGUUCAAGAAUGUAAUCCCUACAGCAAACGUAGGUCCAAUGGAUUCUCUUUCUAGUAAUAAUUUUCCAUGGUUAUAGCUCCCUUUCUGAAAUUAGAAUCGACACAGUUCCAGUGUGACUUCUUGGAUGCUUUUCCUUGUAAACACUGGCAGAUUAACUCAGUUCCUGUUGUUUUAACUGUACUACACCAUCUGUCGAGGCAUUCUGCUGAUAAUGUGAAAUAAUACAGCUGCAGAAAUCAAACAGCUGGCAAGCGAGCACCUUCUAGCUUUCAAUUUCUUCCCACAGGUUACUUCAGGUAAUCCUUGUUCAUGUUUUUUUUUCAUGGUAUUAAUGAAAUCUGGCUAUUCUGAAUUUGACAUGCUUAGUCUUUGCAGAUUUCACUGGCUCACCGCAUGACUUUUUGUAUGUCUUUUCCACCACUGUGCCUCCUUCUCCAGCUAGAAGAUGGGAAAUGCAUGCUAUUCCUUCUCUGCUCGAUUUGCUAUCUGUUCAUAAUCAGAGCUACGAAAAACAGUGGUGGUAUUAUUAGCAAUGAAAAACCUAAAAGGAACCCCACAGAUUGUGCUGUCACAGAAGAAGCAAUAAUAAAGCCAAAGGAUAUAAAUACACCAUCUUCUUUGGAUGUUUGCAUCAGCACUGUUAAAUGGGAAACACCAAAACUCCAUCCAAAGCUGGAAGUGGCUUCCAUCUGUUGGAGAAACAACACUUUGCAACACAAAGGAGAAGAGGAAAUGUCUGAUCCUGCCCCUCCCUUUUCUCCCAAGGCAGAAAGUUUCUUCUGAAUUCACAUGAAUACUUCAGUAUCUACACUGGGUACUUGCACGGUGACUGUAGUGUUGAUGCCACGACAGCACAGCACGCAACCCAUGGUUUGUGAGUCCAGAGCACGGAUAUGCUGUAAACUACCCACGUGCUCUUCCCAAACCAGGACAGUGUAUGAUACUUCACUGUUACAGCACAGUACAGUGCUAGGUGCUGAUGGUUUUCUUCUGUUGUGACAAGUAUUUUUUGUCAGAACAAAGAAUGAACUUGGACUUGUGUCCAUAAUAUCAUAAUAUUAUGAUAUUAUCAUAAUAUCAUAAUAGAGCGUCUUCCUUCAUGCUGGAGGAUAAAUACUACCCUAAUACUAAAGCUAAUAUUAGACUUCCAUUGUUUGAAAAGGCUCCUAAUAAUUAUUUAUUGUGUGUUCUAUGUAACUUAUCUGUAUUGUUAAUUGUAUUAUGUUCAUUUAACUCCACAACUGGUUAUAAAACGUGUAGACUUUUUCCCUGCUGUACUUGUAUCCUCUGUGUUCUCUUUUCCUCCUAACAGUCAGAACACAAACACUGUGAGUGCUGCUAAAUGACCAGCCCCAUUAGUCACUUAAGAAAACAUCAAAAUUCAAGUGGCUUUUUGGAUACCUGUUAGCAUCAGUUGGUGUGGUGAAGGGGGCUUGGGUUUGUUUUUUGGGGUUUGUUUGUUUGUUCAGAUUGUUCAGGAUUAUUUCCUGCACUAAGGAGCAGCAGUUGUGAGGAAGAAGUUAAAGGAUUUUGUUAGCACUAUACGGGCGUGAGACAUCAGAUAUAUUUUUGUCAACGUGAAGUAAAACAGGUUUUCAAGCUGCAGCGGGCCGUAAUGGCCACCAGGUGACGCUGCAAGGCAGGGGAGGGCUGCGCCGCUUCCGGAUCUCGUUCGCUCUCAUUGCGGCAGCUGAAGCUCAGCUUUGCUUUACAAUGUGAUCGUCUCCCUGUGAUGGUUCCCUGCUGGCUGAGCACUGCUGUGCUGCAACGAGUUGCGUCCUCCCACUUCUGCAAGGCACACACUCAUCCAUAUACACUGUUACCUUUAGGAAAAUCCAAAAUGUUCACGGGGAAGUGAUCGUCCUGCUCUACACUGUACUGGUGCAGCCUCACCUCGAGUAGCAUGUGAAGUUUUGAGUACAAAAAGGACAUCAAACUAUUAGGAAGCACCCAGAGAAUUAGCUGAGGUCCCUUAGUGUGCUGGGCCCACAGCAGAGGAGCUGAUGGAGGCCUGAUGGCGGCUGCAGCUCCUCACAAGGAGUGGAGGGGCAACACUGAGCUCUGGUCUGUGUGACAGUGACAGGGCCCGAGGGAACGGCAUGGAGCUGUGCCAGGGGAGGGGCAGCUGGGGGUCAGGGAAAGGGGCUGCACCACAGGGUGGUCGGGCCCUGGAACAGGCUCCUCAGGGCAGUGGGCAUGGCCUCAAACUGCCAGAGUUCAAGGAGUAUUUGGAUAAAGCUCUCAAACAUGGGGUAUUGAUUUCAGGUGGUCCCGAGUGGAGCCAGGAGUUGGAAUCUGUGAACCUUGUGGGUCCCUUCCAACUCAGGAUGUUCCAUGGUUCUAUGAUUCUAAUAAACCCUUUUAACAGUGCUUUGGUGCUUGAGUA